AUCAACUUUCGAUGGUAGGAUAGAGGCCUACCAUGGUGGUAACGGGUAACGGGGUGUUAGGGCACGACACCGGAGAGGGAGCCUGAGAAACGGCUACCACAUCCAAGGAUGGCAGCAGGCGUGCAAAUUACCCAAUCCCGACACGGGGAGGUAGUGACAAUAAAUAACAAUACGGGGUUCUUUCGGAUCUCGUAAUUGGAAUGAGUACAAUUUAAAUCUCUUAACGAGGAACAAUUGGAGGGCAAGUCUGGUGCCAGCAGCCGCGGUAAUUCCAGCUCCAAUAGCGUAUAUUAAAGUUGUUGCAGUUAAAAAGCUCGUAGUAGAAUUUCGGGAUCAGAUUGUCGGUCGUGCCUCGGUACGCACUGGCAUUAUUGGUUCCUACCUUCUGAAGAACCGCGAUGUCAUUAAUUUGGUGUCGUGGGGAAUCAGGACUGUUACUUUGAAAAAAUUAGAGUGUUUAAAGCAGGCGCACGCUUGAAUACAUUAGCAUGGAAUAAUGAAAUAGGACGUUUGAUUCUAUUUUGUUGGUUUCUAGGAUCGACGUAAUGAUUAAUAGGGAUAGUUGGGGGCAUUAGUAUUCAAUUGUCAGAGGUGAAAUUCUUGGAUUUAUUGAAGACUAACUACUGCGAAAGCAUUUGCCAAGGAUGUUUUCAUUAAUCAAGAACGAAAGUUAGGGGAUCGAAGACGAUCAGAUACCGUCGUAGUCUUAACCAUAAACUAUGCCGACUAGGGAUCGGAUGAUGUUAAUUUUUUAAUGACUCAUUCGGCGCCUUACGGGAAACCAAAGUGUUUGGGUUC
rnacentral:rRNA from 1 species